rnacentral:lncRNA from 1 species
CUACAUUCCUCAAAGUCCCGUCUAUUCAAGCCUUAAAGGACGAAUGGAUCGAAACCUAAGAAGGAAAUAAUAGAGACCUAGAGCAUACCAAACCAUUCCUUCGAAAAAUAUAAGCUGAAUUGCAGCUGGUGCAAGUUUUUGCAACCGGCUGGGGACUUCUUCCAGGAAUCCAGUGUCUGCUUUCUGGGUUCCUUUGUACUAGUUUCCGUUGUUUGUUGACGACCUAGAAAAGCUCGAAAUUACGUGAAAAUGGAGCCAAAACAAAUGGCAUGAAAGGGAUUUGUGUGUGUGUGUGUGUGGGGAAUGCAUUCAGGGUGAAAGUGAGAAAAAGAGGGAUAAAAAGGGAGUUAUGACUGAGGAAUUGUUCUUGAGGAGCUUAAGAUAUGGGGUCAGUUACACAGGCUAGCUGUUAAGAAAUCAAAGUGAAUAGCAGGAUGGAGGCC